UUGCAUAUGAUGAUCUACUUGGAUUCCCCUUCAGAACAUCUUGGGUGAUGCAAAACUCCAAGUUUCUGAUGCU
rfam:Arabis alpina cultivar Pajares Aa.chr7_contig_1415, whole genome shotgun sequence.